UGCAGUCGAACGCGCGGAUCAGGAGCUUGCUCCUGUGACGCGAGUGGCGGACGGGUGAGUAACACGUAGGCAACCUGCCCAUCAGACCGGGAUAACCACGGGAAACCGUGGCUAAUACCGGAUAACCCUUUUCUUCACAGGAAGGAAAGUUGAAAGGCGGCUUCGGCUGUCACUGAUGGAUGGGCCUGCGGCGCAUUAGCUAGUUGGUGGGGUAAGGGCCCACCAAGGCGACGAUGCGUAGCCGACCUGAGAGGGUGAUCGGCCACACUGGGACUGAGACACGGCCCAGACUCCUACGGGAGGCAGCAGUAGGGAAUCUUCCGCAAUGGACGCAAGUCUGACGGAGCAACGCCGCGUGAGUGAAGAAGGGUUUCGGCUCGUAAAACUCUGUUGUCAGGGAAGAACGUCCCCGUGAGUAACUGCACGGGGAGUGACGGUACCUGACCAGAAAGCCACGGCUAACUACGUGCCAGCAGCCGCGGUAAUACGUAGGUGGCAAGCGUUAUCCGGAAUUAUUGGGCGUAAAGCGCGCGUAGGCGGUCUGUUAAGUCUGAUGUGAAAGCCCCCGGCUCAACCGGGGAGGGUCAUUGGAAACUGGCAGACUUGAGUGCAGAAGAGGAGAGUGGAAUUCCAUGUGUAGCGGUGAAAUGCGCAGAGAUAUGGAGGAACACCAUUGGCGAAGGCGGCUCUCU
rnacentral:rRNA from 1 species